UAUGUAAAUAAAUUUUACAUUCCAACCAUGUUGGUGCCAUGUACCAUCCCAAUAUGUGCAGCGUGGACUGAUGACUUGAUGAAGAAAAGGGUGCGUGCAGAAUUGCGUGAUUAUGGUGAUUUUGAACUAGUUGAUGUUCAAGAAGAUGAAAGGGGGAAAGAUGCACAUGAAGACCCUGGUAAUCCAGUAAAUGAAGUUGAAGAAGAGACUACUGAUGAAAUUAUAGCAUAAUAUAAUGCAGCGGAGAGACAAAUUCACCAAUUGCUUCGAACAAUGAGAGGAGCAAUUGAUAAACUAGCAACGCGGCAGAAUACAAAUAAAACCUCAUCAUCUUCUCAUCAAAACAGAAGUCAUAAUCAACCUGAUAUCAAUGAUUCUUUCC